UUCAUUCAGGAGGAAAAACUGUAUUUUUCACAUUCACCUGUUUUUAGAAAUAUGUUUAAGGUCAUCAUCAUCAACUGAACCUGUGACAAGUGCAGAUGUACCCAAUUGAGAACAUGGCUUCAUCUAUAAACCUAAUUAUCUACGUUCAUGUUGCAACCAACAUCUCAAGCUUCCCAAUUAAAAUCACACAUGCAUAGACUCACUAUCACCAACUUAUUGUUUAAUUUUGUUGCCAACAAAUUGCUAUUACUAGAUGCAGCUGUGACUCUGCCAAUGAUUGGUCUGGCAUCUCUGGCCAUUAUUAUUUAACUAUGCAUAUAUCUAUAUAUGUUGCUUGUUAUAGUUAGUGAGAUAUUUAUUUUUGUCCCAGUGUUACCAUGUUGAUCUGUGCUGACUGUAGUGCUUGGUGGAGUGUCUCCUUGCAUGUGUACAUAUACACAGUAGUACCUUUCAUGUUACCUUGACAGGUACGGAAUAUCAAUACAAAAUUACCAGAUCUCAAUACAUAGAAAAGACGAAAUUGGUUAUUGUCCUUUGAAUAUUUUCAGCCCCCUUUUAACACUCUCAAUGGAUAUGAGGGAUUACCAUGUAUAUAGCUUAAAAUCUGCAAUAUUUUAGCUUUUUCACUGUGAUUGUUGUUAAUAAUUGUAUAUAGGGAUACAUUUCUAGAUGGCGACAAUAUCACCAGCUUCAAAGUGACAGUUCAAUGCAUUGUCUGAUCAGCUACAGUGUAACAGUUUCAAUGAAUUGUCCUGUUGGCUACAGUGUGACAGUUUCAAUGCAUUGUCAUGUUGGCUACAGUGUGACAGUUCAAUGCAUUGUCUGAUCAGCUACAGUGUAACAGUUUCAAUGCAUUGUCCUGUUGGUUACAGUUUGACAGUUUCAAUGCAUUGUCCCAUCAGCUACAGUUUGACAGUUUCAAUGCAUUGUCCCAUCAGCUACAGUUUGACAGUUCAGUGCAUUGUCCUGUUGGCUACAGUGUGACAGUUCAAUGCAUUGUCUGAUCAGCUACAGUGUAACAGUUUCAAUGAAUUGUCCUGUUGGUUACAGUUUGACAGUUUCAAUGCAUUGUCCUGUUGGCUACAGUUUGACAUUUCAAUGCAUUGUCUGAUCAGCUACAGUUUGACAGUUUCAAUGCAUUGUCCCAUCAGCUACAGUUUGACAGUUUCAAUGCAUUGUCUGAUCAGCUACAGUUUGACAUUUCAAUGCAUUGUCCCAUCAGCUACAGUUUGACAUUUCAAUGCAUUGUCCCAUCAGCUACAGUUUGACAGUUCAAUGCAUUGUCCCAUCAGCUACAGUGUGACAGCUUAAUGCAUUGUCCCAUCAGCUACAGUUUGA